UGCUAGGCUAUCAUAGAUCCUUGA
rnacentral:piRNA from 1 species